rnacentral:lncRNA from 1 species
CCGCACCAUUCAGAACACCACACGCAAGAGAGAAAUUCAGAGAGGAAAAUAAAAAGAGUGCCGCAGGUUUCUGAGAGUUUUUAGAGACUUGUGUCGUGCUUGCAAGGAUUUUUUAGAGACUUGUGUCGUGACCCUGCAGCUAAGGAUUGUGCCAAAUCUGCCAUUGGAGUGCUAGAGCGUUUCUGGGUUCUUUCUAUCCUUAGUUUUAGUCCAAUGUUUAUUUUAAUUUGGUCUUCAAUUAUGAUGAACAUGUGGAACUAAUUUCGUUUUAGCUAGAGGAGAAUCAAAGCCAUGAACAUAUAUGUGAUAUGAAUUGAUUACAUCCAGUUAUGAUUUCAUAAAUCAUGAAUGCAAUUUACUUAUCUGUUUGAUUGAUAACUUAUUCUUGUGUGUUGAUUGAGGAUGCAUACUUAGUUUACAUGCAGGGAUUUGAUGCUAGAAUAUGAGGGAAUUUCACCUAAUCGUUAUGAACUUAUAUUCACAAGUAGUAAAAGUCACUAGUUAUGAUUGUGUUAAGUAAAUUCUUGGCAGGAGUAUCAUGCAGUUCAUAGUUACGAAUGUCUUGUCAAUGCUUAUGAUUUUUAUAGAACUUAAUGAUCUUUGAUAUGUAUCUCUAUCAUGUUGUUCAUAUAGGGAACUUGAUAAGAAUAAUUUGGUUGCGUCGCUGAGUCCAAUUCAAUGAAUUUAGGAAAAUCUGAAAGUUAAUUUGUGCUUCUCACGAUUAAUUUGGGGCAUUGUCAUUCAUGGUCGAUAGGAAUAAUAACUGGAAAUCGAUUUGUAUGAUUAUGUGUCAUGUGUGGAGAAUGACCCUCUAGCUAGCCUUACACCCCUAAAAACAUCCAAUUUCGUAUUACCUUUAGUUUGUUUCUGCAAGUACUUAGGUUUACUUUAAAUUCGUCAAAACAACCCCCAUUUAGUAUUCUGAGUCUUUUUAGUUUAAUUUUCGUCCAAAUCACCCUCUAGUUCUUGUUUUGAGUCAAUUUAACUUAGUUUUGUGUUAUUUGAAUCAGUUUAGUUUGUUUUGAGUUGUUUGAGUCUAGCUUUCAGUUUUUAAGUUUAAUUUGUGUUGAUAAGUAUCCCUAACUAAUCUCCGGCCUAGAAUGAUCCCUACUUACGCGUACUACAACUAUCUUAAUAGGGUUUAAUUUGCGUGUUAGUUUUUACCACAUCAAAUUUUGGCACCGUUGCCGGGGAUCUCUUUGUUUCUGUUUUUGGUUUUCUUGUGUUUCUGAUUUUGUUUUGUUUUGUUUUCUUUGUUUUAGGUACUAGUU